UACGAAGGGGGCUAGCGUUGCUCGGAAUCACUGGGCGUAAAGGGUGCGUAGGCGGGUCUUUAAGUCAGGGGUGAAAUCCUGGAGCUCAACUCCAGAACUGCCUUUGAUACUGAAGAUCUUGAGUUCGGGAGAGGUGAGUGGAACUGCGAGUGUAGAGGUGAAAUUCGUAGAGAUCGGGAGGAACACCAGAGGCGAAGGCGGCGACCUGGACAAGUACUGACACUCAACUGCGAAAGCUAGGGGAGCAAACAGG
rnacentral:rRNA from 1 species